rnacentral:rRNA from 1 species
CCUACGGGGGGCUGCAGUGGGGAAUAUUGGACAAUGGGCGAAAGCCUGAUCCAGCCAUGCCGCGUGUGUGAAGAAGGCCUUCGGGUUGUAAAGCACUUUCAGUGGGGAAGAAAGCCUUGGGGCUAAUACCCUCGAGGAAGGACAUCACCCACAGAAGAAGCACCGGCUAACUCCGUGCCAGCAGCCGCGGUAAUACGGAGGGGUGCGAGCGUUAAUCGGAAUUACUGGGCGUAAAGCGCGCGUAGGCGGUCUGAUAAGCCGGUUGUGAAAGCCCCGGGCUCAACCUGGGAACGGCAUCCGGAACUGUCAGGCUAGAGUGCAGGAGAGGAAGGUAGAAUUCCCGGUGUAGCGGUGAAAUGCGUAGAGAUCGGGAGGAAUACCAGUGGCGAAGGCGGCCUUCUGGACUGACACUGACGCUGAGGUGCGAAAGCGUGGGUAGCAAACAGGAUUAGAUACCCCGGUAGUC